UAUGGCCACAUCACAUUGAAACAUUGGUUUCCGUACGAUCAGCGAAGUUAAGCCACGUCGAGCUUUGUUAGUAACUAGAUGGGUGACCGCUUGGGAAUACCAGGUGCUGUAAG